ACGAGGGUUGUAACCCGGUCGAGAUGAUGUGGGAACGUCCGGGAUGGGCGGGGUUGACGCCCGAACAGGCUUAAACGAACGUUGUUUUUGCGUGGGCCGGUAUUUCAACCACGGAGGUCUGAUCCCGGGAGGAUUCUUUCCAAUCCAGACUGAUCCCGGCCGAAGCGAACAAGGCCUAGGUGGGAUCUGGAGCUCGUUGCGGCCGCGGACUCCACGCCCCUAUAAAACCAGACCUCGCCAUUGAGAGAGGGAGGGAACCGUUGGGAGCUUGGACCGUCGUCGCCGACGUACCUCAUCCUCAGAAGCUGUUCAGGGACCAAGGAGGGACGCCGGGUUUGCGCUCGGCGUGCGGCGUGUGUACGUGGGAUAGCCGAGCCAAGACCUCGACCCAAGCGUGGGCAAUUGCUCACCAGCGCGUGUCACCGUCGUGGAUUUGCCACUCACCGUGGGUCGGCUUCUCUAUCGCCUCUGAACCCUAGUCAUGAACAUGUACCACAAGAUUAGGAGCAUGAAGGAGGUCACGAUGAGUUCGUGAGAGGUCUAGACCGUCGUCUCCGAGUUAACUAUGGUUGCUGGAUUGUUGUCUUCGUAUGAUAUAAUUAUUUAACUAUUUUGUAUAAAACUCCAUUAUAUAUUAAAAAUGUUACAUUCGUUUCUGUAACAUGAGUCAUCAUAUGUGUGAGACUUGAUACUAACACACAUUUGAGAUGCACCUAGGUUUGACCUUUAAAUCCGGUUGUGACCGAUGUGUACUGUGUAAACUUGUUUGAAUUAUGUUACAGAAUUGUUGUGAGCAGGCAUAUUAGUUGAA